rnacentral:rRNA from 1 species
CCUACGGGUGGCUGCAGUGGGGGAUAUUGCACAAUGGGGGGAACCCUGAUGCAGCGACGCCGCGUGGGUGAAGAAGCGCCUCGGCGCGUAAAGCCCUGUCAGCAGGGAAGAAAAGGACGGUACUUGAACAAGAAGCCCUGGCUAAUUACGGGCCAGCAGCCGCGGUAAUACGUAGGGGGCAAGCGUUAUCCGGAUGUACCGGGUGUAAAGGGGGUGCAGACGGCGGUGCAAGCCAGGAGUGAAAGCCCGGGGCCUAACCCCGGGACUGCUCUUGAAACUGCGUGGCUGGAGUGCAGGAGGGGCAGGCGGAAUUCCUGGUGUAGCGGUGAAAUGCGUAGAUAUCAGGAAGAACGCCGAUGGCGAAGGCGGCCUGCUGGACAGCAACUGACGUUGAGGCCCGAAAGCGUGGGGAGCAAACAGGAUUAGAUACCCGUGUAGUC